AUACCUUUCUCGACCUUUUGGCUAAGAUAAAGUGCAGUAUUUGUUCUUAUCAGUUUAAUAUCUAAUAUGUGGGCCAAUGGCCCGCAACGAUAUUAAAUUUAUUUUUUAAGGUGAAAGAUCCAUCACAAUAGCUUGUUAUUGGGGUGUUGUCACGUCGCCCAUGCGUUGCAUUGUUGCACAAGCCUGGCGUACCCCAC
rfam:Spinacia oleracea cultivar SynViroflay scaffold1697.con0002.1, whole genome shotgun sequence.